UGGGGAAUAUUGCACAAUGGGCGCAAGCCUGAUGCAGCCAUGCCGCGUGUGUGAAGAAGGCCUUCGGGUUGUAAAGCACUUUCAGCGAGGAGGAAGGUGGUGAGCUUAAUACGUUCAUCAAUUAACGUUACUCGCAGAAGAAGCACCGGCUAACUCCGUGCCAGCAGCCGCGGUAAUACGGAGGGUGCAAGCGUUAAUCGGAAUUACUGGGCGUAAAGCGCACGCAGGCGGUUUGUUAAGUCAGAUGUGAAAUCCCCGGGCUCAACCUGGGAACUGCAUUUGAAACUGGCAAGCUAGAGUCUCGUAGAGGGGGGUAGAAUUCCAGGUGUAGCGGUGAAAUGCGUAGAGAUCUGGAGGAAUACCGGUGGCGAAGGCGGCCCCCUGGACGAAGACUGACGCUCAGGUGCGAAAGCGUGGGGAGCAAACA
rnacentral:rRNA from 1 species